rnacentral:tRNA from 1 species
AGUUAAUGAACUUGAUACAAGUAUAUGUUUUGAAAACAUAAAAAAGAGGUCAACUCCUCUAUUAACUU